UACGUAGGGGGCGAGCGUUAUCCGGAAUUACUGGGCGUAAAGCGCACGCAGGCGGUCUCUUUAGUCUGUAGGGACAGGGCACAGCUUAACUGUGUCAGGCUUACGGAAACUGGGAGACUUGAGGGCUUCAGAGGGAUGGGGAAUUCCGGGUGGAGUGGUGAAAUGCGUAGAGAUCCGGAAGAACACCAAAGGCGAAGGCACCAUCCUGGGGAGUCACUGACGCUCGGGUGCGAAAGCUAGGGGAGCGAACGGG
rnacentral:rRNA from 1 species